GUGCGCAUGGCGUACACGAGCGGCACACCGGCCUUCGGCGUGGGUGCGGGCAACGUUGCGUCGAUCGUCACGGCGCGCGCUCA
rnacentral:tRNA from 1 species